rnacentral:rRNA from 1 species
GACGAACGCUGGCGGCGUGCUUAACACAUGCAAGUCGAACGGAAAGGCCCUGCUUUUGUGGGGCGCUCGAGUGGCGAACGGGUGAGUAACACGUGAGUAACCUGCCCUUGACUAUGGGAUAACUUCAGGAAACCGGGGCUAAUACCGGAUAGGAGCUCCUGUUGCAUGGUGGGGGGUGGAAAGUUUCGGCGGUUGGGGGUGGACUCGGGGCUUAUCCGCUUGUUGGUGGGGUAGUGGCUUACCAAGGCUUUGACGGGUAGCCGGCCUGGGAGGGUGACCGGCCACAUUGGGACUGAGAUACGGCCCAGACUCGUACGGGAGGCAGCGGUGGGGAAUAUUGCACUAUGGGCGGGAGCCUGAUGCAGCAAAGCCGCGUGCGGGAUGACGGGCUUCGGGUUGUGUUCCGCUGUCGCCUGUGACGAAGCGUGAGUGACGGUACUGGGUAAAGAAGCACCGGCUAACUACGUG